rnacentral:misc_RNA from 1 species
AAAAAAUCCAAACUCAAUAGUGGCCAACACCGCUAUUGGGAUUUCACCCAACAACCAGUCUUCGGACUGUGUGCACUUGACAACAGUCUGGCGGGUUCAAACAGUCUUUUGACUGGCCCUUGGGCACCCGCCAGGAAUGUUUUUAACGAAUACACUUGUGGUCAUUCUUUGUUUGAAAAUUACAAACAUAA